ACAAGUCAACGAUAAAGUCGAUUAAUUCACUUCUAAUUAAUCAAUGGAAUGAUUAUUUAGUUAUAUAAGGAAUUUAAUUAAUUAGUUAUUUAUAUGAAUUUAUUUAUUAGCUAUAACUUUUAUAAUUUGUUUGAAUUUAGUGAAAAAAAACAAUUUGUAAGUUUUCAUCAAUAUUAACGGACAACAUACAUUAAAAUGGAAACAACUUUCUCUUAUCCAUCUUUAAGGCAUUAUAUUUUAAGGUGAUUUUCCACUUUCACUUUUCCAUCAUCAUCUUAAUCAUCACCAUCAUCUUUAACAACAACUGGACCUCCUUUUCCUUUCUAUUAACUGAAAACCAACAUCAAUUGAGUUCACCCUAAAGUAAUAUUUAACCUUGAUUUAAUUAAGAUGCAGCUUGAAAUGAGCGUAAAUAUUUCCGGUUUGCGUUUUCUUCUUCUUCCUUCUACAUUAUUUAUUAAGUGGUACAUUCUUAUAAGUUGUAUUAUCCCGCUUUACAGCUACAUGUAACGCUGAGAAGGAAGGUAAACUGAAAGUUAUUCAAUUAUCAAAAUUAUGGUUGGGAAGAAACGGAAACUUGGUAAAGUUACCAAUGCAAAAAAGAUUCCAACUUGCACAAUCGGAGAAAGAAAAGAUUGAUUUGAGUUUUCCAGCCUGUUGAUGUUAGGCUCAACUUGAGGUGUUAUUGAACAGCUAUUGAGCUUUUUUACGCCUUAAUUAUCAUUAUUAUGCUUAAAUAUCUUCCUAAUUAGAUAAUACAAUUUGAAAAAAUGACUCGGCCAAUUCAGUUGUUGUUGGUUAACCUGAAUAAGUCAAAAAUAUAUAAAGUCUCAACCAGUUGAAGUCAAUAUAUUUUCAAUAAACAAGUUUUACUCAUUCAUUGGCUUGUAAAUUUCAAUUGGUUAGUAAAAUAUUAUGCUAAUGUCAAUAAUAUAUUAAUAAUAAGAGGCAACAUUUAAUUAUUAUUUAAUCAUCUUUAAUCAAGUUAUAAGGAAAUGAAGCUAAAAAGCAUGUGACUUUGUUCAAUUAUUGAAGCGUCAACUUGAAUUUCUGGUUGUCAGCCAACUUUCACUUUUCUGGUUUCUCCACUUUUUUUUCUGGUAUCAGCUGCUUAUAUAACCCAACUGUACUUAAUUUGUAUUAAAUUUCAAGCCUAAUUAGCCCAAUUAAUAUUUA